GUGUCAGCCGCCGCGGUAAUACGUAGGGGGCGAGCGUUGUCCGGAUUUACUGGGCGUAAAGCGCGUGUAGGCGGCCCGUUAAGUGGGGUGUGAAAGCCCGGGGCUCAACCCCGGGACGCCGCUUCAAACUGGCGGGCUUGAGGACGGAAGAGGGGAGUGGAAUUCCUGGUGUAGCGGUGAAAUGCGUAGAGAUCAGGAGGAACACCCGUGGCGAAGGCGGCUCCCUGGUCCGUCCCUGACGCUGAGACGCGAAAGCGCGGGGAGCGAACGGGAUUAGAAACCCUAGUAGUCC
rnacentral:rRNA from 1 species